rnacentral:lncRNA from 1 species
AUUCAACCCGGUGAUACAGACAGAUGGAAACCUGGCUGGGGUUGGGGCUGGCAAGGGAGCCCCUCUCCUAGCCUCCUCCAUGGGGACUGUGGCUCCACGGUCCCCAUCCUGCUCAGCCUCCCAUUCCUGCAGCACCUCCUCCAGAUUGAAGCAGUGCCGGUAGCUCACAAAGAAGGUCUUCACCUGGGUGAGAGUCUUGUUCCCAAUCACCUCUGUAACAGUCCCAAAGUCUUUGCCAUACCUACAGAUGGCUUGGGCAGCCAAAAGCUGCUCCUCUGUGGUCCAGCAGAAGUUGAACUUGGUGUUGGCCUCCAGGGGGUGGAGUGGAUCAAUGCCGCCCUCCAGGGCUUAGCGCAGGCCGCUGUUCCUCUGCUUUAUGCUCUGUACCUCUCUCUUGAGGUCUCCAUCAUUGCUCUCUCUCAGGCCUCCUCGACCCUCUUCGAACUCAUCACUGUCUUCUUUGUCCUUACAGCCCCUCAGCCGCCGGGCCUGUCUGUCCAUCAUGCCAGUUCGGCUGUGGGUUUUCUUCCAAGAGUGGUGAUAUUUCACCCAGGCUGGAAAUCAACUUGUCGGGCAGCAUCUGCUGGAUCCACACUUGUCGUGGAAGCCAAAGGCCUGUUCAAACAACACCUUGUCCUCUACUGUCCACUUGUCGGGGAACGGGGUGAAGUUGGCCAGGUCGGCCAGUGACUUCUCCACAUGGUGCUUAUGCCACAAGAGCAUGCCCAGCACCUGCUUAAUGUUGUAGCUGUGCUUCUCUGUGGCCAUCGCAAUGUAUUUGUCAAGCUUGGCAUCCGACACACAGCGGUUGGAUCCGACACACAUCCGACACACACCAGCAUCCCCUUCAGCUUCUUGUUGCUGUAGCAUGUGAGGCUCUCAGGCUUGCUCUCUGCAAUUACAGCCUGGUAAUUGGUUCCAAUGUGGCUCAUGCUGUCGUGUGAGUGCUCCUCCUUGCUGCUGUCAUCCUCAGAGUGGGGCUGUCCGCCGUUGGGCACCGUCUUGGCCCGGCUGUGGGAUUCACACUCCAUCACGGAGGGCAUUACCCCUCUCAACUGCCCCAGGGGGCGCGGGAGCCUUCGAGAGUGACAGUGGUUGCCGCACUUGCCCUGAGUGCCAUGCCCGGCCUGGCCUGGAGAGGUCCCCACGUGCUAUCUUCCAUCUUGCCCCUGCCCCCAAGAUGCUACUUUUCUAGAGGAUACUUUAUUUUUACCCUGCUAUGACUUCUGUACUUUAAUCAUCUGAACCAGUCAAUUUGAAACUUGAUUCCCCUCAUUUAUUGGACAUUCUUAAUGUUGAUUAAAUAUUUAUGCUGUCGGAGGCCUUUUUUUCCCCACCAUGAAACCUGCAAAUUUGGAACAUUCAGGAGCUUUAAUUGUGAGGACAGGCACACUUACAUUCAUAACCAAAUGGUCAAAGAUGCAUUUCUCAUUCUCUUUGAUUUGGUGGGAGGAGGAAGAGGCAUGGGGAUGAUGGCGAAAGGACAGCUGUGUAAUCCUAGGGGCACAAUCCUGGCAAACUGGAUUUCUUGCUGACUGAGGACUGGACACAGAACUGUUCUGAGGCUAAUUAGCAAUAAGCAGAAUUGGCCUAAGUCAAGGGGCCCUUGCGAUCAUCCUGUAAGAUUGUUGGAAGCCCGCCCACCUGGGUCCCAGAACUCAUGGACCUAGGCUCCCAUGUAUUCAUUCCCAGCCCUGAGGGAGGUAAGGUAUGCCUUGCCAGCACUCACAGUCCCUUACAUGCCCAACUGAUCCUGCCACGACGGUGGCAAUGGUGUUACCCCUACCACCCCAGCCCACUGGCUGUCCGGUGUAAUCAUUAAGAGCUUGGGCCUCAGCAUGGGCCACCCUGAGGGGCUGAGGUUUGCACAAGGGCACUCAGCCAAGGAGGAAAAAGGAAUUAAAACCCAGCCUGUCUUCUGUUUACCAAACCUUGCACCCUGGCUUGGGGCUGGGUGUUCCCAAAGGAAGUGGCCCCUUUUUCUUUGUACAAAGACUCUGUAGGCCAGCAGUGAACCCAGUCAGGCCUAAGUUCCAAACCCCAUCCCACCACUCAGUAACUAUGCAGGCUUGGGCUCUCUGAGCCUCAGCAUCCCCAGUGUGGGUUGGAAAAAUAGCAUCCAUCACAUGGCAUUUUCAUGUGUAUUAAAUGAGAUAAUAUGUGUAAAGCAUUUAGCACAAUGCCUGACACACAGGAAGUAGCUCCAUAAAUAAAAAAUAUUAUUAUUAUGAUUACCAUUAUUAUUACCAGGACUCUAAUGCUAUGUUAACUCAGCAUUAUUAGUAUGAGUUUGCUAGGACUUGCCAUAACAAAAUAUCCCAGACUGGGUGGCAGUAUAUUUCCUCACAGAUCUGGAGGCUGGACGUCCAAGAUCAAGGUGUUGGCAGGGUUGGUUUCUUCUGAGGGCUCUCUCCUUGGCUUGUAGAUGGUCAUCUUCUCUCGGUAUCUUCACAUGGUCCUUCCUCUGUACAUAUCUGUGUCCAAAUUUCCUCUAUAAGAACAUCUGACACCAGUCAGAUUAGAUUAGUGUCCACCCUAAUGACUUCAUUUCACUUCUUUAAAGAGCCUACCUCUAAAUACAGUUACAUCUGAAGCUACUGGGGGAUAGAACUUCAACGUAUGAAUUGGGGGGAUGGUGACAGUUCAGCCUGUAACACACCUAUUCUCCAUCCCAAACCGUAUCCUUAAGAAAACAUUUUAACUGGCAUUUCUUGGGCACAUGUUUCUGCUCAGUACUGAGCCCAUUUACUUCAGUUUCUUCAUUUCGUUUUUCCAAUUACCUCAUAAGUAUUAUCACAUCAUUUUGCAGAUAAGCAAACUAAAGUGCAGAGAGCUUAAUGACAAGCCAAGGUCCCACAGUAUGGUAAUGAACCCCUUCUUCUGGCCAAAUCCAUGGCUGCUACAUCAGGUUUGCUAAUGGAUUCUCACCGUAUGGUAUUAGUGGCUGAUAACACUUAAUCUGUUACCUUCCCUGGUUGUUCUGUUGCAGUAGCUGCUGGUGGCCAGCCAGCCACAGCAGAGCAAACACUCUGUCCUCAUAAUCUCUUCCUCCAUAAAGGUUUUCCUCACUUCCCAUUGCUGUCUUCUCACUAGAUGUCUCUGACUCUUCAUUUCUCACCUGUUGCACUAUCCUGUCAAUCCCCGUAUGUUCACAAUUCAUUUACCUGCCUCUUGGUCCUACUGGCUUGAGUUUCAUGAAGGUUAAGAGGGGAUGCCACUAGUGUUAAGAGUGGAUGUGGGUGUUAGGUACAUCGGAACCAGCAGGAACAGGGGAAUGGCAACAUCUAGAAGAUCUGACCAAAGUGUAAUCAAGUCUACAUCUGUAAUUGGUGGAUGAGCUGCUCGGAGUCAAGUCACCUCAGGAUAUCAAGAAGAUACAUGCCCGGGCACGGUGGCUCAUGCCUGUAAUCCCAGCACUUUGGGAGGCCGAGGUGGGCAGAUCACCUGAGGUCAGGAGUUCGAGACCAGCCUGGCCAACAUGGUGAAACCCCAUCUCUACUAAAAAUACAAAAAUUAGGCGUGGUGGUGGGUGCUUGUAAUCCCAGCUACUCAGAAGGCUGAGGCAGGAGAAUUGCUUGAACCUGGGAGGCAGAGGUUACAGUGAGCCGAGAUCACACCACUGCACUCCAGCCUGGAUGACAGGGUGAGACUCUCUCUAAAAGAAAAGAAGAUCUGUGAUUUCCAAAUGGCAUAAGGAAUAGGUCAGAAAAGUAACAACAGGAGGAGGGAGUGGAAGGAUUUUCAAGAAAUGCAAGAAAGCCAGGGAAAGCAGCAGAUUCAGGGGCAGGUACUUACAAAGAGGUGAGAAAGUGAUCAGAAAAACAGGUUGGUAUAAAUAUUACAAGCAAACAGAAGAUAGGAAACAGGAUGGCAGAUGGCAAAGCUGCCCCUGUGCUUGGGAAUAGUCCUUUUCAGCAAAGGAAGAAUCUUUAUUAAAUAUUAAAUUUUGGGGUAUACUGCUUUAAGAAAUUUACCAUCGAAAAAGCCAGACUUUGAGAAUAGGCAAGCAUUACUAAAGCUUUAUUACUAAAUGCUAUUUGCUGCUCAUUGAAUGUGUACCCCAUGAAUGCCGUGAACUAUAAGGAUGUGUGUG